rnacentral:lncRNA from 1 species
AAAAACAAAAACUGUUUAAGUAAAACUGGACUAAUUAAACUGAUAUCGUAAAAAUAUUUAAAAUCUCGGCCAAAUUGUCCCCGGUAACGGCGCCAAAAAACUUGUUGGGUAAAUUAAUACGCGCAAAACACGCGAGUGUACGUGGUCAACAAGUAAUAUAGUAAUGAAUAAAGUAUCGUUCCCACGAGGAUAAAUUAUCAAGAAUUUUAACUUCAC